UCGGGAGUAACAACCUGGAAACAGAUGCUAAUACCGGAUAAUAACAGAUGAUGCCUAUCAACUGUUUAAAAGAUGGUUCUGCUAUCACUCUUGGAUGGACCUGCGGUGCAUUAGCUAGUUGGUAGGGUAACGGCCUACCAAGGCGAUGAUGCAUAGCCGAGUUGAGAGACUGAUCGGCCACAUUGGGACUGAGACACGGCCCAAACUCCUACGGGAGGCAGCAGGG
rnacentral:rRNA from 1 species